AAAUUAGACAAAAUUUCAAUUUGU
rnacentral:snRNA from 1 species